rnacentral:rRNA from 1 species
AUUGAACGCUGGCGGCAGGCCUAACACAUGCAAGUCGAGCGAGCGGCGGACGGGUGAGUAAUGUCUGGGAAACUGCCUGAUGGAGGGGGAUAACUACUGGAAACGGUAGCUAAUACCGCAUACCAUCAGAUGUACCCAUAUGGGAUUAGCUAGUAGGUGGGGUAACGGCUCACCUAGGCGACGAUCCCUAGCUGGUCUGAGAGGAUGACCAGCCACACUGGAACUGAGACACGGCCCGGACUCCUACGGGAGGCAGCAGUGGGGAAUAUUGCACAAUGGGCGCAAGCCUGAUGCAGCCAUGCCGCGUGUAUGAAGAAGGCCUUCGGGUUGUAAAGCACUUUCAGCCGGGAGGCGUUACCCGCAGAAGAAGCACCGGCUAACUCCGUGCCAGCAGCCGCGGUAAUAC